rnacentral:tRNA from 1 species
UCCUGGUUGCUCAGCGGUAGAGAAUCUGCCUGCGACGCAGGAGAUGCCUGGGUUCGAUCCCUGGGUCGGGAA